CCACCCACGACUUUCUUAGGCAUUAGCGUUGGGCUCUCAGCUCCCUAAGCACCACCCUGAAGAUGGGAGCCUGGCUCUGAAGGGAAUUAGGCCAGCCUCAGAGGACGGCUUGGCAGACAACUGGAGAGAGGCUGAGAACACCACCCACCCCUCUGCUGUGCCUCCUCUGUAACUUCCCCCAGACAGGGUCUCACAGGAGUGCCUCCCAUUUUACUGCUAGAAGCAGGCAAUGAGACCCAGAGAGGACACCCAUACAAGGUCACCCAGCACCAGAUCCCAGCUCUGCCAGGCAGCACAGUGCCCCAUGUGGCAGCAGGGACACAUGCAGCUUCAGCUUGUAGGCUCUGCGUGUACCUCUCAGGCAGCGGAGCUAAUGUACCCUGGGGAGGAUUACCUGGAAUUGUCCCUUCCCAAGAUGGGUGACUUCCCAGCCCAGGUCUCAGCCAGAGAAACCAUCCCUGAGGAAGCUGGGGGGAUGGAUCCCACAGAGACAGUGAAGGAGAGCGGAGAUGGCCUAGCCCAUCUGGGAGCGAGAGCGCUGCCCGGUGACGGAGGCGCAGCCUCCUGAACCACUGGAAUGGCAGGCAUGUGCCAUCAUGCCCAGCUCUCUCUUUAGCACAAACUUGCAAGGCUGAAAACAACUACCAGCCACUACAAUCAGAAACCCUGGAUCAAGAAAGGAGCAAAAAGAGGUGGCACAUAAGUUCCUGAAAGAUCUCCACCUAUUUCCAGGAAGAACAUGAAUACAUGAAGAAUAUGAAUAUGUCCCUUUAGGAGCCUAUCUAUCUCCCUCCUUCAUUAUUCCUCUCCUGUAUCUAUAACCCUGUAACUCCCUAUAAUUCCCUGGCAUUGAUAAGUUGAUUUGCAAGCAAAAUUCCUGUUUCUCUCCUCUUUGGCUACUGAGUAAGCUCUUUCUUCUUUGUUACUCUGUCUCUUGAGUCAUUAACCUUAUCAAGAGGCAGAAUCGGGGCUGGGGUUGUGACUCAGUAGUAGAGCACUUGCCUAGCAUGUGCGAGGUCCUGGGUUAGAACCUCAGCACCACAUAAAAAUAAAUUAAAUAAAGGUAUUGUG